rnacentral:rRNA from 1 species
CCUACGGGGGGCAGCAGUAGGGAAUCUUCCACAAUGGACGAAAGUCUGAUGGAGCAACGCCGCGUGAGUGAAGAAGGGUUUCGGCUCGUAAAGCUCUGUUGGUAGUGAAGAAAGAUAGAGGUAGUAACUGGCAUUUUUUUGACGGUAAUUAAUUAGAAAGUCACGGCUAACUACGUGCCAGCAGCCGCGGUAAUACGUCGGUGGCAAGCGUUGUCCGGAUUUAUUGGGCGUAAAGGGAGUGCAGGCGGUUCAAUAAGUCAGAUGUGAAAGCCUUCGGCUUAACCGGGAAAUUGCAUCAGAAACUGUUUAACUUGAGUGCAGAAGAGGAGAGUGGAACUCCAUGUGUAGCGGUGGAAUGCGUAGAUAUAUGGAAGAACACCAGUGGCGAAGGCAGCUCUCUGGUCUGCAACUGACGCUGAGGCUCGAAAGCAUGGGUAGCGAACAGGAUUAGAUACCCUUGUAGUC